UCACUUGUUUCUUCUCCUGCUUUAAGGUCAGGGCUGCAGCCGGACGGAGCAGCACAUCGCAGAGUCACGGCACCCUGUGAUCCCAUGGCCGUGCACCUCCAGCACCACUUACAGCAACCAGCACUCACGUUUGGAUAAGAAGAGGGGGAAAAAAAGAGCGUUAGUGAGCCUCUAACAGAUUUGCAUGGGCUUAAUUAAUGAGCAUUUUCAAACCAAUUUUUGCUAAGCUGCCCUUGUUUCUGUUGUUUGAUGCUGUGAUGCUGUGCACGCCUUUUUCUCCAGGUCACUGCUGAAGCCCAUAGUAGGUUCCAAGGAGCAGCUCUGCACACUUGCAAUGGUUCGAGCCCGAGGUCCGAAGCGCUCACAGCAAACACUGCACAUCAGCCUCAGCGCACAGAACUUCCUACAGCCCUACAGAACAUGAGCUCCUGCUGCUGCUCCCUUGGGGCUCAGGACUCCAAGUGCCGUCCCAAACCACACUGUGCACCCACAGCUUCACAUGUGGCUGCAGCCGCUCCCCCUGAGACAUGUGAAUGAUGAGUGCAGUUACGUAGUGGGAUCACUCAGGACACGCACAGCAUCGAGCUGCUGCUCAGCCCUGUGUCCCACCCUGAGCUCAGGCCCCGCUCUGGGUUUCUCAGGUCUUUGUGAAGUCCCUGACCCCCAUGAGCUGUCUGCAGGGUGCUCAGCCCAAUGCUUGCAUUAAAUCUGUGCACCACAAACUUGCUGUACCAACAGCCCAGUUAAGUACGGGGCUUUGUAUUUCACAUAAAUGCUAGCCAGCUUCUGAUUUCAUAUUCUGCUCUGUUGUAGAAUUGGAAGGUAGUGACUCACUCCCAGAAACACAAAAUGAUUCGCCCAUGACUUUGACGUUUAUCUUACCAAAGGAGCCCAGCAUAAAAGCUGGGCCAUGGGCUGAGUGCUGCCUGGCUGCCAUUAGGAACAGAACAGCCCCAUGACAUGAAAUCUGAUGACUCGAUGAACUUCUGACCUAUAGCAGAAAUCUGACCAUCACAGCCCAGCUCCUCCAGUGAGCUCUGCAGGAAAACACAAGUCUUCAUUCUACAUUCAGUUUUUCCCACCCUUCGCCAAUGGAAUUUUUAUAUGAUGUGAAUUAAAUAUGGCAGCCUUUGAAGGCAGAAGUUGUAAGUGGCUGUGUGCAGUCCAGGCAUCCUCCUGCUCCUGUAGCCAUCACACCUUGUUAUGGCACAGCAGCAAAAUGAGACGCUGCUGUGUCUGACUCCACUGGGAAUGAAACACAGGAUCCGGUACUUCGUCCUUAUCUGAGCUCCUGCUCCACUUUAGGCAAGUGCACUCUGCUCAGAAAUGCCUAUAGCCAAUGCACACAGAGCCAGGGGUGCGGAACUGGGCGGCUCCCCCCGCAGCUCUGAUAAGCUAAAAACAGAUGGAAGGUCUAAGCCAGUUACGUGGAGCACAUGAUAAAAUUCCUUGCUAAACUGGGGCCCGAGUCAGUGUGAGCUUAGGGUGGAACUCCAAUAAAUAGAGGAGGAAGAACAGGCGCAAGAACGGAGCCAAAGGUUCUCCUGGGGUGAGGGCUGGGCCCCUGCGAAUGGGGAAGCAACGUGACCCGACAGAAGGAGGGAUGGUGCGGCUGUUCUGUGCUGGGGCUGCAGAGCAGGAAUUUCCUCGUGGGAGCACUGCCAGGAGGGUGAGGAAACGGCUUGUUUUUCGAGGCAUGGAGAGACGAAGAGCAGAGGGGUUGGACCAAAGGCUCUGGAGCAGUGCUGCAGGCACUGCCACUGACAGCACUCACGGUGCUGCGAGCUGUGCUACCUGAAACAGCUUUCUUUUGGCUUUUCAAAGUGGGGUGAAGGAAUAGAGCUCAUCUCUUGUGCUCACGCUCAGCAUUCAGAUCUAUGGCUGGGGGAGCCAGGAACAAAAAGUCUCAGUGCCAGACUCCAUCCUCAGUUCUGAAGCUCAAACAUCAGCCAGGUCCAGGAACUAACACUGAGCUCAGUCGAGCUGUGUGUGUAAGAGCACGGCUUCACCAGGCAAAAAUGCAGUAGAGCUAAAAAAAAAUAAACCCAUGAAACCAAAUCUCAACCAGCCCAAAACAAAGCUGUAAGAGGGCUGUGCACACUGCGCCCUGAAAGCUCAGAGCAACGGUUUGGGGACAAAUUGCCACCGCACAGAGGGAAAGGGGACUUCAUGCCCGAAGGACUCCGUGAUUGCAUCACCAUUCCAUGGCACCAUCUGCAAUUGUGGGAACCUGAAAAUGGGAACUUUCUCUCGGAGGAGACAGCAGUGCCUGUGCUCCCCUUCCACCCGAGAAACUGUUGUGAACUGACUCUCCUGCAGCACAUGGAGGGCAGCACGGAGCUCACCCUGAGGCUGGAGGAUUGGGGGGUCUCGGUCUCUUUUCACACCAAGGAUCACAGAUCAGUCAGGAACUCCUUGUCGCUCGGAAACUCCAGUCACAGCCAUAUCAAAUUGCUGGAGCAGUAGCUUGCAUGGAAAAAUAAUAUGCAGGAUAUUUUUAUCUUUAGCUGCCUUAAUGAAAUAUAGCAGAUGGAAAUAAAGAGGAGAAGCCCA